AUGGGGGGACCACCCUCCAACCCUAAAUACUACCCAGUGACCGAUAGCGUAUAGUACUGUGAAGGAAAGGUGAAAAGGACCCCGGGAGGGGAGUGAAAGAGAACCUGAAACCUUGUGCCUACAAGCACAUAGAGCACAUCAACGUGUGAUAUGGUACUUUUUGUAGAACGGUCCGGCGAGCGAUUGUAUGUUGCGAGCUUAAGCGCUUAAGGCGUGGAGGCGUAGCGAGAGCGAGUCUGAAAAGGGCGUUCAGUAGCAUGCAAUGGGCCCGAAACCGGGUGACCUACCCAUGAUCAGGCUGAAGUGAAAGUAAAAUUUCAUGGAGGGCCGAACCGACCUCCGUUGAAAAGGCGGCGGAUGAAUUGUGGGUAGCGGAGAAAUUCCAAUCGAACUCGGAGAUAGCUGGUUCUCCCCGAAAUAGCUUUAGGGCUAGCCUCAUAUUAGAUACCCGGAGGUAAAGCACUGAAUGGCCUAGCGCCCGAGAGGGUAGCGAAGCCUAUCAAACUAAGAAUGCCGGAGUAUUGAUGUAUGGGAGUCAGACAGUGUGAGAUAAAUCUCAUUGUCAAAAGGGAAACAGCCCAGAUCUACAGCUAAGGUCCCAAAUUGUAUCUAAGUGGAAAACGAUGUGGAAAUACGCAGACAACCAGGAUGUUGGCUCAGAAGCAGCCACUCAUUUAAAGAGUGCGUAAUAGCUCACUGGUCGAGCGUCUCUGCGCGGAAAAUUUAACGGGGCUAAGAUACAAACCGAAGCUUAGGCUGCAUACUUAGUAUGCGGGGUAGGGGAGCGUUGUGUAAGCGGAGAAACAGUAGCGAAAGCGGCUGUGGAGUUUACAGAAGUGAGAAUGCCGGAAUGAGUAGCGCGAAUGUGGUGAGAAUCCACAUGGCCGGAAACCUCAGGUUUUUGGAGGAAGGUUCGUCCGCUCCAAGUUAGGCGGGAGCUAAGGUAAGGCCGAAAGGCGUAGCCGAUGCACAGACGGUAGAGAUUCCGUCCCCACCGAAAGACUUAAGCACAGGGACACUUUCAGAAGGUCGGAGCCAGGUGUUGGUUCUGGUAGUGAUCGAGGGAAAUAUAGUACCGAAGUCCGGCUGGAAGAGAGGCGAGAAAAGCUGUGUGUAUGUUUAAGGUGCCCGUACCGCAAACCGACACAGGUAGGUAGGAAGAAGAUUCUAAGGCCAACGGGAGAAGGGUUGUUAAGGAACUCGGCAAAUUGACCCCGUAACUUCGGGAGAAGGGGUGCUCCAGAGAUGGAGCCGCAGAGAAUCGGCCCAAGCAACUGUUUACCAAAAACACAGGUUUGUGCUAAAUCGAAAGAUGACGUAUACGAGCUGACGCCUGCCCGGUGCUGGAAGGUUAAGAGGAGAUGUGCAAGCAUUGAAUCGAAGCCCCAGUGAACGGCGGCCGUAACUAUAACGGUCCUAAGGUAGCGAAAUUCCUUGUCAGGUAAGUUCUGACCCG
rnacentral:rRNA from 1 species